rnacentral:rRNA from 1 species
GACGGAAGGUGCAAGCGUUGCUCGGAAUCACUGGGCGUAAAGGGUGCGUAGGCGGCUUGGUAAGUUGGGUGUGAAAGCCCCGGGCUCAGCCCGGGAAGGGCACUCGAAACUGCCGAGCUGGAGUGCCGGAGGGGAGAGUGGAAUUCCUGGUGUGGCGGUGAAAUGCGUAGAUAUCAGGAAGAACACCCGUGGCUAAGGCGGCUCUCUAGUACGGUACUGACGCUGAGACGCGAAAGCGUGGGGAGCGAACAGG